UGUCCUGGCACUUUGACAUCUAGUGCUUUUCCGUCUAGCAGCCAAAAUUGUGGUCUUUCUGAAUGUGUAUGCCUUAAGUCUUCAUUGGUGUAACUAGCUCUUUAACAUAAAAAUCUGCAUCUCUCUCCCUUCUCACCCAGUUAUCCCCGUACAUCCUUUCAGUAUCCAAAGAAUUUUUUCUGUAUUUUACCGUGUGGACAUACUCUUUCCUUCCAUGUUCCACUGUCGUAUGUUAUUCCACAUCUAACACAACCACAUCCCAACAGAUCCGAACACGUCCGAUAUCAUCCAAGAGAAUGUGGCAGCUGAAGGGGGAGAGUCCAAGAAAGAGGCCAAAGGUGAAGACAUUUAGCCACCCCCCCUGAAGUACAUGGCAGCAUUCAACCCUCUUGGUGAGCUGCAGGAAUGUGCUUCCCAUUGCAGUGCACCAGCUCCAUGUAUUGAUUUUGGGUGUGAACUUGAUGGGGUUGGAGGAAACUCGACUCGGCCAUCAAGCUCACCACAAUUAAUAUAACAUGAAAAGUGAAAAUUGCUGCACACAACAGUCUGCCGUCUGCACCGGGAGGCAAGGCAGCUCAAAGCCCAGGCUGUUACAACUCCUGGGCAGUUUUUGCCCAGAGCCAGCAAUUUUUUAGAUCCAAUAGGGAUGGAUUUUUUCUGAGGUCAGGUUCAACAUGCUGCAAGAUACCAAGAUCUAAGCCCAGUAGAAGAUAUGGGUUACAAGAGAGGAGGUUUGCUCUGGCCUUAUACUAUCAAAGUCCAAAUGCUAAUAGAUUUCUGAGCACAGUAUUUCACUUGCCUUCAGUUUCAACACUUCACUCAUGACUCAGGGGUAUUUCAGUAAAUGUUGGCUGGAGCAAACAGACUCUGACAGCCCUGCAGCAAAGAGCACAGGCUUUGUCAAAAGAAGAG